UUGGAGGGCAAGUCUGGUGCCAGCAGCCGCGGUAAUUCCAGCUCCAAUAGCGUAUAUUAAACUUGUUGCAGUUAAAAAGCUCGUAGUUGAAUUUCUGCUGCAUCGUGGUUCUUCGCUAUGUCGAGUGAUCUUCGUUGUGGCUUAGUUGGGGCAUGUUUUCAUGACUCGACGUUUACUUUGAGAAAAUUAGAGUGCUUCAAGCAGGCUUUUGCCUUGAAUACUUUAGCAUGGAAUAAUGGAGUAGGACUUUGGUUCUAUUUUGUUGGUUUUAGGAGCCGGAGUAAUGGUUAAUAGGAACAGUUGGGGGCAUUCGUAUUUGACUGUCAGAGGUGAAAUUCUUAGAUUUGUCAAAGACGAACUACUGCGAAAGCAUUUGCCAAGGAUGUUUCCAUUAAUCAAGAACGAAAGUUAGGGGAUCGAAGACGAUCAGAUACCGU
rnacentral:rRNA from 1 species